AGGUCGUGAUGUAGACACUUGCGCAAUAAGUCCUUGUAUCUCUCUCAUGCCUUAUAUAAUGAUUCACCCUCAAAUUAGAUUAAAGUAGUAAUAUCAUUCAUUAACUU